GUCGAGCGGAACGAUGGGAGCUUGCUCCCAGGCGUCGAGCGGCGGACGGGUGAGUAAUACAUAGGAAUCUGCCCAGUAGUGGGGGAUAGCCCGGGGAAACCCGGAUUAAUACCGCAUACGCCCUUCGGGGGAAAGCAGGGGAUCUUCGGACCUUGCGCUAUUGGAUGAGCCUAUGUCGGAUUAGCUAGUUGGUGGGGUAAGAGCCUACCAAGGCGACGAUCCGUAGCUGGUCUGAGAGGAUGAUCAGCCACAUCGGGACUGAGACACGGCCCGAACUCCUACGGGAGGCAGCAGUGGGGAAUAUUGGACAAUGGGGGCAACCCUGAUCCAGCCAUGCCGCGUGUGUGAAGAAGGCUUUCGGGUUGUAAAGCACUUUCAGUGAGGAGGAAAACCUUACGACUAAUACUCGUGAGGCUUGACGUUACUCACAGAAGAAGCACCGGCUAACUCCGUGCCAGCAGCCGCGGUAAUACGGAGGGUGCAAGCGUUAAUCGGAAUUACUGGGCGUAAAGCGCGCGUAGGUGGUUUGAUAAGCGAGAUGUGAAAGCCCCGGGCUUAACCUGGGAACGGCAUUUCGAACUGUCAGGCUAGAGUAUGGUAGAGGAGUGUGGAAUUUCCUGUGUAGCGGUGAAAUGCGUAGAUAUAGGAAGGAACACCAGUGGCGAAGGCGGCACUCUGGACCAAUACUGACACUG
rnacentral:rRNA from 1 species